CCUACGGGUGGCUGCAGUCGAGAAUUUUUCACAAUGGGCGAAAGCCUGAUGGAGCGACGCCGCGUGGGGGAUGAAGGGCUUCGGCUCGUAAACCCCUGUCAUUCGAGAACAAACCUCGCGAUCUAACACAUCGCGGGCUGAUAGUAUCGGAAGAGGAAGGGACGGCUAACUCUGUGCCAGCAGCCGCGGUAAUACAGAGGUCCCAAGCGUUGUUCGGAUUUACUGGGCGUAAAGGGUGCGUAGGCGGCGAGGAAAGUUCGCGGUGAAAUCUCCAG
rnacentral:rRNA from 1 species